UGAGGAGCAAAUUCUCUAGGCCUCCACCGUUCUGGAACAUGGCAUGCUACGAUUCUGUUCUGCUGUCCAUUACGGGGUUUCAGGCUGUGCCCAUUGGUUCCGUUGCUUCUGGGCCUAUGGUGUGACAGAACAACAUGGUGGGAGUGUGUGGUAGAGCCAGCUGCUUACCUCAUCCUCAUGUCCUUUUUCUCAGCAAAAAUGUUCUUUGGAAGAUAGCAAGCAAAGAACUUUGGUUAUUUUAACAGAC